GUUGUUUUGGCAGAUUAGUGCGUUGGAUUUAGAAUCUUUUUAAGUAAAUUAUUUACAGAUAACA
rnacentral:tRNA from 1 species